GAGGGUGUAGCUCAGUGGUAGAGCGCAUGCCUAGCACACACAGGUCCUGGGUUCACUCCCCAGUAUCCCCA
rnacentral:tRNA from 1 species